GAUGAACGCUGGCGGCGUGCUUAACACAUGCAAGUCGAACGGUGAAGGCGGAGCUUGCUCUGCUAGAUCAGUGGCGAACGGGUGAGUAACACGUGAGCAAUCUGCCCCUGACUCUGGGAUAAGCGCUGGAAACGGCGUCUAAUACUGGAUACGAGCUGCGAAGGCAUCUUCAGCAGCUGGAAAGAAUUUCGGUCAGGGAUGAGCUCGCGGCCUAUCAGCUUGUUGGUGAGGUAAUGGCUCACCAAGGCGUCGACGGGUAGCCGGCCUGAGAGGGUGACCGGCCACACUGGGACUGAGACACGGCCCAGACUCCUACGGGAGGCAGCAGUGGGGAAUAUUGCACAAUGGGCGAAAGCCUGAUGCAGCAACGCCGCGUGAGGGACGACGGCCUUCGGGUUGUAAACCUCUUUUAGCAGGGAAGAAGCGAAAGUGACGGUACCUGCAGAAAAAGCGCCGGCUAACUACGUG
rnacentral:rRNA from 1 species